rnacentral:rRNA from 1 species
CACGUAAGUGGCGAGCGUUGUUCGGAUUCAUUGGGCGUAAAGGGCGUGUAGGCGGCGUAUCAAGCUUGGUGUGAAAUAUUUCGGCUUAACCGAAAAGACGCGCUGAGAACUGAUAUGCUAGAGUUCAAGAGGGGGAGUUAGAAUUCCAGGUGUAGGGGUGAAAUCUGUAGAUAUCUGGAAGAAUACCGGUGGCGAAGGCGAACUCCUGGCAAUGAACUGACGCUGAGGCGCGAAAGCGUGGGUAGCGAACAGG